AGGCCCCCACCGGGAAUGCAGCCUGUUACUUAGUUUGACUCAACACGAAAAAACUUGCCCGGGCCGGACACUGGAUGGAUUGACUGAUUGAUAUUUCUUGCUUGAUUGGAUGGGGGGGGGUGCAUGGUCGUUCUUGGUGGGGGGAUUGAUUUGUCUGGUUAAUACCAAUAACGAACCACACUCUAGCCUACUAAAUAGGCCACCGGUUUACUGACGGCGGUGGCACUUCUUAAAGGGACGGGCGGCGAUUCAUCCGCACGAAACAUAGCAAUACCGGGUCUGUGAUGCCCUUACAUGUCCGGGGCCGCACGCGCGCUACACUGAAAUGAUCAGCGUGCAUUACAAACCUGCUCCGUCAGGAGUGGGGAACCCAAUGAACCUUCUUCGUGAUUGGCAUAGGUGAUUGUAAUUAUUCCCCUUGAACGAGGAAUUCCCAGCAAGCGCUAGCCAUGAUCUCGCGUUGAUUACUUCCCUGCCCUUUGUACACACCGUCCGUCUUUACUACCGAUUGAAUGAUUU
rnacentral:rRNA from 1 species